rnacentral:rRNA from 1 species
UAGGGCUUCACACGUCAUACAAUGGUCGGUACAGAGGGUUGCCAAGCCGCGAGGUGGAGCCAAUCCCUUAAAGACCGACUCGUAGCCCGGAUCGUAGUCUGCAACUCGACUACGUGAAGUCGGAAUCGCUAGUAAUCGCAGAUCAGCAUGCUGCGGUGAAUACGUUCCCGGGUCCUU